AAGAGAGAAUGAAAGAAAUGAAGAUUGAUGUUUUUUUUUUCUCCGUGUUUUUUUCUCGUCUUUUUUGCCCCCCCCCCCCAUGCUUGACCAACUAAAACAGGAUGCGAAGCGCAUGAUUGAGUGUCUGCAUCU
rnacentral:ribozyme from 1 species